CGACCGACAGAAGUGUCCUUGCUGCUCCAACAGACGUUUUGCCCGCUGUGAGAAGUGGUCACCAAACUCCGAGUGACACCUUCGAAACGUCGACAGAGGAAGACCUACAAGAUAGACAGGUGGAGGAGCAAAUUGCAAGGCAAGGAUGUUGUUGCAUAUGCAGUGUGCCAAUAGAGGUACAGUGUCUUUAGUAAUUUCAAACUUUCAAUUUCAGCAGUGCGCCAAGGCCACGCAAGUCAUGGCGAACCUCAAAGAACCAGAAGAUGCCAUCUGAGGACACUGCUCCCAGCAUGGCAGCUGAAUGCCUCAGCCAUCUGAAGGCAUCACGCGCCCAGAAAGAGCAAGAAAAAGACAUGCUAUAUCAUUUUGCAUUCACUAUGGUUGGCAU